rnacentral:rRNA from 1 species
AACGUAGGAGACAACCGUUAUCCGGAGUUACUGGGCGUAAAGGGCGUGUAGGCGGUUAGUUAAGUCUGGCGUGAAAGCCCCCGGCUCAACUGGGGAGGGUCACGCGAUACUGAUCGACUCGAAGGCAGGAGAGGGUAGUGGAAUUCCCGGUGUAGUGGUGAAAUGCGUAGAUAUCGGGAGGAACACCAGUGGCGAAGGCGACUACCUGGCCUGUUCUUGACGCUGAGGCGCGAAAGCUAGGGGAGCAAACGGG